rnacentral:rRNA from 1 species
CCUACGGGAGGCAGCAGUGGGGAAUUUUGGACAAUGGGCGCAAGCCUGAUCCAGCAAUGCCGCGUGCAGGAUGAAGGCCUUCGGGUUGUAAACUGCUUUUGUACGGAACGAAACGGUGAGCUCUAAUACAGUUUGCUAAUGACGGUACCGUAAGAAUAAGCACCGGCUAACUACGUGCCAGCAGCCGCGGUAAUACGUAGGGUGCGAGCGUUAAUCGGAAUUACUGGGCGUAAAGCGUGCGCAGGCGGUGAUGUAAGACAGAUGUGAAAUGCCCGGGCUCAACCUGGGACCUGCAUUUGUGACUGCAUCGCUAGAGUACGGUAGAGGGGGGAUGGAAUUCCGCGUGUAGCAGUGAAAUGCGUAGAUAUGCGGAGGAACACCGAUGGCGAAGGCAAUCCCCUGGACCUGUACUGACGCUCAUGCACGAAAGCGUGGGGAGCAAACAGGAUUAGAUACCCUGGUAGUCCACGCCCUAAACGAUGUCAACUGGUUGUUGGGUNUUCACUGACUCAGUAACGAAGCUAACGCGUGAAGUUGACCGCCUGGGGNGACGCGCGAGUAGACGANANAGAGUAGAGNGNGAGAGNGCGAGGCGCACGAGGGAGAG